rnacentral:rRNA from 1 species
AUUGAACGCUGGCGGCAGGCCUAACACAUGCAGGUCGAGCGGAUGAAGGGAGCUUGCUCCUGGAUUCAGCGGCGGACGGGUGAGUAAUGCCUAGGAAUCUGCCUGGUAGUGGGGGAUAACGUCCGGAAACGGGCGCUAAUACCGCAUACGUCCUGAGGGAGAAAGUGGGGGAUCUUCGGACCUCACGCUAUCGGAUGAGCCUAGGUCGGAUUAGCUAGUUGGUGGGGUAAAGGCCUACCAAGGCGACGAUCCGUAACUGGUCUGAGAGGAUGAUCAGUCACACUGGAACUGAGACACGGUCCAGACUCCUACGGGAGGCAGCAGUGGGGAAUAUUGGACAAUGGGCGAAAGCCUGAUCCAGCCAUGCCGCGUGUGUGAAGAAGGUCUUCGGAUUGUAAAGCACUUUAAGUUGGGAGGAAGGGCAGUAAGUUAAUACCUUGCUGUUUCGACGUUACCAACAGAAUAAGCACCGGCUAACUUCGUG